GACGAACCGUGCGAACGUUAUUCGGAAUCAUUGGGCUUAAAGGGCGCGUAGGCGGCGGCGUAAGUUGGACGUGAAAUCCCAUCGGCUCAACCGUGGAAUUGCUCCCAGUACUGCGUCGCUCGAGGGGGAUAGGGGUCUGCGGAACUACCGGUGGAGCGGUGAAAUGUGUUGAUAUCGGUGGGAACGCCAGUGGCGAAAGCGGCAGACUGGACCCUUCCUGACGCUGAGUGCGCGAAAGCUAGGGGAGCAAACGGG
rnacentral:rRNA from 1 species